AGAGUUUGAUCCUGGCUCAGGAUGAACGCUAGCGGCAGGCUUAAUACAUGCAAGUCGAGGGGCAGCAAGGGUAGCAAUACCUGUUGGCGACCGGCAAACGGGUGCGGAACACGUACGCAACUUUCCCAAAACUGGUGAAUAGCCUUCCGAAAGGGAGAUUAAUACACCGUAAGAUAUAGGAGUGGCAUCACACUUAUAUUAUAGCUCCGGCGGUUUUGGAUGGGCGUGCGGCUGAUUAGGUAGUUGGCGGGGUAACGGCCCACCAAGCCUGCGAUCAGUAACUGGUGUGAGAGCACGACCAGUCACACGGGCACUGAGACACGGGCCCGACUCCUACGGGAGGCAGCAGUAAGGAAUAUUGGUCAAUGGACGCAAGUCUGAACCAGCCAUGCCGCGUGCAGGAUGAAGGCCCUCUGGGUUGUAAACUGCUUUUAUAGGGGACGAAAAAAGGGCUUUCUAGCUCGUCUGACGGUACCCUAGGAAUAAGCACCGGCUAACUCCGUGCCAGCAGCCGCGGUAAUACGGAGGGUGCAAGCGUUAUCCGGAUUUACUGGGUUUAAAGGGUGCGUAGGUUGGGUCGGUAAGUCAGCGGUGAAAUCUUCGAACUUAACUCGGAAACUGNCAUUUGAUACUAUCGAUCUUGAAUCAUCU
rnacentral:rRNA from 1 species